rnacentral:tRNA from 1 species
UACUUAAUGAUAAUUCAUCAAUAAAUCCACAAUUUAUUAUUUUAAUUUAAACUAAUUAAGUUU